rnacentral:rRNA from 1 species
UUGGUGUGGUUGUCGCUGGCCCUUUCGGGGGCAUGUGCACACCCACCAUCCUCAUCUCUCCACCUGUGCACCUCUUGUAGACCUGAAUUGACUUUCCGAGGCAACUCGGUCGGGAAGAUUGCUGUGCUCUGUGAGCCAGCUUUCUUUGCAUGUCUAGGCCUAUGUUUUUCAUAUACCCCUAUAGAAUGUAACAGAAUGUAUCAUUGGGCCUUGUGCCUAUAAACCUUAUACAACUUUCAGCAACGGAUCUCUUGGCUCUCGCAUCGAUGAAGAACGCAGCGAAAUGCGAUAAGUAAUGUGAAUUGCAGAAUUCAGUGAAUCAUCGAAUCUUUGAACGCACCUUGCGCUCCUUGGUAUUCCGAGGAGCAUGCCUGUUUGAGUGUCAUUAAAUUCUCAACCUUAUUAACUUUUGUUGAUAAUGGAUUGGAUUGUGGGGGUUUCUUUUGCUGGAUUCUUCACAGAGAUCAGCUCCCCUUAAAUGCAUUAGCUGGUGCCCCGCGUGGACCAUCUAUUGGUGUGAUAAUUAUCUACGCCGUGGAUGUCUGCAAUCAUAUGGGUUUUGCACUGCUUCUAACCGUCUGUUCAUUCGGACAAUACAUGACAAUUUGACCUCAAAUCAGGUAGGACUACCCGCUGAACUUAAGCAUAUCAAUAAGCGGAGGAAAAGAAACUAACAAGGAUUCCCCUAGUAACUGCGAGUGAAGCGGGAAAAGCUCAAAUUUAAAAUCUGGCGGUCUCCGGCCGUCCGAG